UAGCCAUGGGCAGGUUGAAGGUUGGGUAACACUAACUGGAGGACCGAACCGACUAAUGUUGAAAAAUUAGCGGAUGACUUGUGGCUGGGGGUGAAAGGCCAAUCAAACCGGGAGAUAGCUGGUUCUCCCCGAAAGCUAUUUAGGUAGCGCCUCGUGAAUUCAUCUCCGGGGGUAGAGCACUGUUUCGGCAAGGGGGUCAUCCCGACUUACCAACCCGAUGCAAACUGCGAAUACCGGAGAAUGUUAUCACGGGAGACACACGGCGGGUGCUAACGUCCGUCGUGAAGAGGGAAACAACCCAGACCGCCAGCUAAGGUCCCAAAGUCAUGGUUAAGUGGGAAACGAUGUGGGAAGGCCCAGACAGCCAGGAUGUUGGCUUAGAAGCAGCCAUCAUUUAAAGAAAGCGUAAUAGCUCACUGGUCGAGUCGGCCUGCGCGGAAGAUGUAACGGGGCUAAACCAUGCACCGAAGCUGCGGCAGCGACACUAUGUGUUGUUGGGUAGGGGAGCGUUCUGUAAGCCUGUGAAGGUGGCCUGUGAGGGUUGCUGGAGGUAUCAGAAGUGCGAAUGCUGACAUAAGUAACGAUAAAGCGGGUGAAAAGCCCGCUCGCCGGAAGACCAAGGGUUCCUGUCCAACGUUAAUCGGGGCAGGGUGAGUCGACCCCUAAGGCGAGGCCGAAAGGCGUAGUCGAUGGGAAACAGGUUAAUAUUCCU
rnacentral:rRNA from 1 species